AUGAUUAUUUUUACUCUCCUCAGUUUUUUGUGGAUGUGUAUUGGUCACACAGAGGCAGAUGCAAUAAAACCCUUGUCGCUGAAUGAAUAUAGACGUGCUGGUGACAGUGCUACUCUGUCCUGCAGUUACAAAGACUAUACAGCUACUGUACAGAAUUUACAAUGGUACAGACAAUAUCCCAGAUCCAAACCGGAGUUCCUCCUGUACAUCUUCCAGCAUGGAGCUAUGAGUGAAGACAGACCACCCAGAUUUACUGCUGCAGUUAAUCAAGACAACAAACAAGUGGAUCUGAAGAUCUCCUCUGCUGUAGAGACAGAUUCUGCCAUGUACUACUGUGCCCUGGUGCCCACAGUGACAGGAAAUCUAACUGCAUCAUACAAAAACCUCCCAUGUCAUCCUGCCUCAAAUAACAAAUGCAUCAGCACAAUAGCCAAUCCUUUAACUGGAACAAAUCACAUCAUGCUUAUCCACACCAAAGAUUUUGACCCUGGAAUUGAUUAUACUUUGCUUAAUGGUCAAUGA